GCCUCGUGAAUUCAUCUCCGGGGGUAGAGCACUGUUUCGGCUAGGGGGCCAUCCCGGCUUACCAACCCGAUGCAAACUGCGAAUACCGGAGAAUGUUAUCACGGGAGACACACGGCGGGUGCUAACGUCCGUCGUGAAGAGGGAAACAACCCAGACCGCCAGCUAAGGUCCCAAAGUCAUGGUUAAGUGGGAAACGAUGUGGGAAGGCCCAGACAGCCAGGAUGUUGGCUUAGAAGCAGCCAUCAUUUAAAGAAAGCGUAAUAGCUCACUGGUCGAGUCGGCCUGCGCGGAAGAUGUAACGGGGCUAAACCAUGCACCGAAGCUGCGGCAGCGACACUGUGUGUUGUUGGGUAGGGGAGCGUUCUGUAAGCCUGUGAAGGUGUGUCGUGAGGCAUGCUGGAGGUAUCAGAAGUGCGAAUGCUGACAUAAGUAACGAUAAAGCGGGUGAAAAGCCCGCUCGCCGGAAGACCAAGGGUUCCUGUCCAACGUUAAUCGGGGCAGGGUGAGUCGACCCCUAAGGCGAGGCCGAAAGGCGUAGUCGAUGGGAAACGGGUUAAUAUUCCCGUACUUGGUGUUACUGCGAAGGGGGGACGGAGAAGGCUAUGUUGGCCGGG
rnacentral:rRNA from 2 species